rnacentral:tRNA from 1 species
GGGGCAUAACUCAGUUGGUAGAGUAGCUGGCUUUUAACCAGUAGGUCCAAGGUUCAAGUCCUUGUGCCC